rnacentral:lncRNA from 1 species
CCAGCAGCCCAACUGGCCAAACUUAUGACCCGGCCCAUAUUUUUUCCUUCCCCUUUACCCCACAGCAAGAGUACAAGAUGGCUAGUGAUGUUAAACUGGCAACAACACAUACAACCAACCAUAACUUCACCAUCAAUAAUACAUCCCCAAACUGAUCCGAUAACUAUCGGCAACCCAAAAAUUCCAGCGUGCAAUCUAACCCAAUAUCAACCCCAUCAGUACAACAACGAUUUCAAAAGCUUUAAUGUACAAAGCAACAUCAACUACUCUAGCACAACAAUAACCAACUUCAUCCGUAAUUAACCGAUCCAAUCCGCGAACGUCCAGUUCAACCUUAUUCCAUUGUUUGAAAAUUUUGAAUUGCAAAUUCGUAUAAGAAAAUAGUACAACUCCAGCUCAGAUUUGUAUUCUUUACCUCAAAAUUUGAAAAUCCCCAAAAACACCUUUUACAUUUAGUCUCACAUUGGUGAAGCACAAAGAGUGACCCUCCAUCAUCUUUAUAAAAGGAUUAUUUUAGAGCAAAUUUGGGACAAGGCCAGAGAGAUGAAAAAAUUCUUUUGAGCAAAAUAGUUAUUUUUUCUUAGUAAAUUUUUUUCAAAUAGUUGGUUGGCUAAUCAAAUUUUUUAAGUUGAAGGUGGCGUUUUUCGGUGGUGGAUGAUUUUGAAAAACUCGUAGUCUCAUUUUGCUGCCUUGGAAAAGGUGAACAUGCUUCGCCUUUUUAUUUUUAUUAUUAAUUUCUUCUUCAUCUCUUUCUCCGUAGUAAUAUUUAUUUAGUUGUAUCGUGAAUGAGGCUGGGAUUGUUCGUCGUAGAGGCUUUGAUAGCCAUAGGAUUUGCUUGUGAGGAUUGUCUUUAUAUUAUUAUUUCGGUUAAAGGUUCUUCGCAUUACUAUUCGUGUUGAUUCUUAUUCAUUAUUUUAGCUACAUGUUGUUAUGUUUUAGGCUACUGUUAUCAUAUAAUUCAAAUGGUAUUUUGUUAUGUUUGCAGGUUGUAAUUUCACUUAGUUUUGCCAAUCUAAUGCAAAGAUUUAUUUGUUUUAGUUCUAGUAUGUUGUUUGUGGCCUAAUCGUUGCUCGUUGUGAUUUUUUAUUUUGCUAUGUUAAUUCAGAUUCAUUUUUUGUUCUUGGAAAAAUUGCUAUGAUUGUUCAUAUUUUCCCCUUUGAUACAUAGUUGAACCACUUCUAACUGUUCCUUGACCUUUAAUGUCAAUGAAAAAUUUAAAGUCGGUUUACAAACUAAAAUUUCUACUCGAAGAUCCCAUUGUUUGUGGAUUAAUCAUUCUAGUUUUGAUAUUGUUUGGAUUCAUUUUUGGUUUCUUUGAAAAUUUGCUUUAGUUCAAGUUUUACCCUUUGAUGCUUUGUCGAACCACUUCUAAGUGUUCCUUGACCUUCAAUGUCAAUGGAAAAUAUGAAGUCGGUUUAUAAACUAAAAUAUCUACUCGAAGAUCCCUUUGUUUGUGGAUUAAUCAUUGUGACUUCGAUUUUGUUCGGAUUCAUUUUUAGUUUCUUUGAAAAAUUGCUUUAGUUCAAGUUUUUUCUUUUAUGCAUAGUCAAAUCACUUCUAAAUAUUCCUUUACCUUUAAUGUUAAUGAAAAAUAUGAAGUCGAUUUAUAAACCAAAAUUUCUACUCAAAGAUCCCUUUGUUUAUGGAUUAAUCGUUGUGGGUUCGAUUUUGUUCAGGUUCAUUUUUAGUUUCUUUAAAAAAUUGCUUUAGUUCGAGCUUUUCCUUUGACGCAUAGUCGAACCACUUCUAAAUGUCCCUUAGCCUUUAAUGACAAUGGAAAAUAUGAAGUCAAUUUAUAAACCAAAAUUUCUACCCGAAGAUCCCUUUGUUUGUGGAUUAAUCAUUGUGGUUUCGAUUUUCUUUCUGUUUAUUAUUAGUUUCUUUGGAAAAUGGUUAUAGUUCAAGUUUUCCUCUUUGAUGCAUAGUCAAAUUGCUUCUAAAUGUUCCUUGACCUUUAAUGUCAAUGGAAAAUAUGAAAUUGGUUUACAAACCAAAAUUUCUACUCGAAGAUCCCUUUAUUUAUGGAUUAAUCGUUGUGGGUUCGAUUUUGUUCAGGUUCAUUUUUAGUUUCUUUAAAAAAUUGCUUUAGUUCAAGCUUUUCCUUUGAUGCAUAGUCGAACCACUUCUAAAUGUCCCUUUGCCUUUAAUGACAAUGGAAAAUAUGAAGUCAAUUUAUAAACCAAAAUUUCUACCCGAAGAUCCCUUUGUUUGUGGAUUAAUCGUUGUGGUUUCGAUUUUGUUUCAGUUUAUUUUCAGUUUCUUUGGAAAAUGGCUAUAGUUCAAGUUUUCCUCUUUGAUGCGUAGUCGAAUCUCUUCUAAAUGUUCCUUGACCUUUAAUGUCAAUAAAAAAUAUAGAGUCGGUUUAUAAGUCAAAAUUUUAACUCGAAGAUUCCUUUGUUUGUGGAUUAAUCAUUAUGGUUUCGAUUUUAUUUGAGUUCAUUUUAAAUUAUUUUAAAAAUUGCUUUAGUCCAAGUUUUCCUCUUUGAUGUAUAAUUAGAUAGCUCCUAAGUGCUCCUUGACCCGUAAUGUCAAUGGAAAAGAUAGAGUUAGUUUAUAAGCCAAAAGUUUUGACCCAGGGAUCCCUUUGUGACCUUAUCCAAAGUUUACUUUGAACUUACAAAAGAGAGGAAGGAGGUGGAACAAUCUUGGUCAAUUAAUUUAUCUAUUCUAAAGCACUAUCUAAACUCGCUUUAGAAUUUGAGUUUUUAUUCGAAGGGUUAAUUUGCGCAUUUAUGUUGAUCUAAAUAGUAAAAAUUGUACAUUUUUAUGAAGUUCGCUUAAGAUUCACUCUUACAUUGUUAAAUAAGAAUAUGUGCUAAAGUGUUCUUUUCAGUCUUGGUGCUUUGCUUUACUUUGUUUUUAUUUUGAAGUUGUCUCUAUGCCCUAAAGUGUUAUUUUUCUUUUCUAUUCAAGUUAAAAUGUGAAAAUCUUUGAAAUUUAUUACUACUUUCAAAUUUCAUAUGAGUUUGGUUUGCCAAAACGAUUGUGCCUCGUUGCAUCAUAAAUAUCCCUCUUUUUAUUUUCUUUCGAAUUUUGAUCUCAUUAAUAUGUUGAAAUUUUUUUAAGCAACCAUGCUUGAUCUUUAGAAAUUAUAGUCCUUAUUUCUUAUGCCUUUGAGAUUUUAGUAUUUAUGUUUUCCUUUUGGAUGAUUAGGAACAUUAAUUUUCUAAGCUUUUAUUUAACCUAAGUGAUUCAUUUUGAUGAAUAUGUGUGUUUAGUCUAUAAAAUUAGUUGUUAAAUGAAUACUCGUUGGAUGGAUUCUAAUCUUCCCUUUUUCUUCUUUGUUUAGGAUGUAAAAUGUUGAGUCCAAAUGGACUCUUCUCAUAUGAAUUUCGAUGAUGGGACAAUGUGGCCAUUUCCCUUUCGAGUCAUCCACUCAAGCCUAUCAAACUAGCUUGAUUGUUGGAAAAAGAAGUUGUCACCGAUGGGAGGAGAUGGGGUUAAAGUUUUUUUUAGUAGCUAAGAGACAUGAAAAGUCUCAUUUUUUUAUUACUUUAUUCAUCAUUAUGUAUCUAGUUAUUAAUUUAUUAAUUUGGGUCUCGAAGCCAAAGUUGUAAAUUAAUACAGGUGAAGUUUAUUAUGGGCCAAAAGAUCAAAACAGAUAGUUUACGAC